GAGGGUAUAGCGUUUUCGCCUUAGACUUUCUUGGGUGCAGGCCCACACCACCUCAGCAGCCUGCCCGGCAGUCCUCUUUUCCCAGGUUUUGGCGUUUAGACAACCCACCUGAGUCCUCAGCCUUGUCCCACACAGCAAGGUACAAGGGACCGGACGUCUGCCUCCUCAGCAGCGCAGCGCACAAGCUUCCUGUCAUCCCGGCGCCCACGAUCAGCACCUGCGCCAUGGCGAGAGGGAGCAGCGAUCCGCGCUGAGUCUCUGCGGCGGGGCCGUUCGGCCCGGGCUUUCUGGAAAGGCGGCCGAACCGGCGCUAGCGCUCUUUGGUUCCGUGCUCCCUGGGCCGACCUGGGCCCUGAGCUUUCCUCCGGCCGGCCUGCAGGGGGCGGAAAGGAGGCGGCCGGAGCUGAGAGGCCCCUCCGUCCUUGAGGAGCAAACCUGGGGCUGCGGAGAACCGGGGCUGUCUGUCUUCUCGCUUUGGGGGCCGGGCGCCCUGCCCCUCGCCCAGAAAAGCCUGGAAAUGGUGUGGGCUAUUGUUGGGAGAACCCGCCUCGCAACAGAGCUGACGUUGACCACAGCAGAGAAGCAGCUUAACCUAUCUACUGCGAUAACUCUCAUGCCUGUUGGGAUUUUUGCUGUUUUACUAUUCUAGAUUUGAAAGUGGGAAGAAGAAUUUACCAGCGAUACCACGGGCAACCUUUCCUCUAAUGCUUGAACGGCCACUAUUAGCAUAAUAGAAACAUCUUUUGGAAUCUGGGAGACAUUUUUCUUAGACCUGGGACUUUGUGUAACCUUCCUGAACCUCAAUUUCUCCAUCUGGGAAAUGGAAACAAUAACGUAUACCUUUCAAACUUGUAAAGAUUAAAGACAGUUGAUUCAUCAGAAAAUUCCAAAUUACUCUUCAAUAAGUUCUAUGUCAGAACGCAUUCCGUAUGUUCUAAGGAAUAUAAAGAUGAACAACAAGAGAAGGAUUGGUGCCAUUGCCGUUGUUUUUUUCCCCCUCCUGACAUUGUACUGGAAGUUCUCAAUGAAACAACAAAGGCAAUGGUAAUACUGAACUAUUAAAAAACAAAUAAUUAAGUUACGCUGACUUGCAGAUAAAUUAUUACCUGGAAAACUAAGAAACCGAAUAAGUAUCAGAACCAAUAAGAAAAUUGACAAUGGUAGCCAAUUAUAAUGGAAACAUUUAAAAAUCAGAAUAUUUACUUCAUGUCCACAUCAUGAAAAAAAUUACCAUGUAUCAAAUGGGUGACGAAUUAAUACUAGAUAUAUCUAAUAAAAGAACUAGAAGAAAAUGUAGACGGGCAUAUAUGACUAAGAAGACAUUUUUAAGCAUAAAAAUGAAAGAUGGAAUUGAACAGAAAAUACAUAAUCAUUUACAACUUGUGUGUUACAAAAUACACAAAACAAAAUACAAAUAGUAAAUUUCUGAAAGGUGUAUGAAAGAUUAAAGUUAAUAUUAUUUAAAAACAUUAUUCAAAGUCUUAAAGACACAAAUGACAAAAGCCAAAAGGAAAAUGUGUAUAUAUUGGAUAGAGUUCUUGAAUAAAAAGAAAUACGUAAGUCCAAUAA
ensembl:lncRNA novel transcript, antisense to RNLS